rnacentral:rRNA from 1 species
UACGUAGGGACCAAGCGUUGUCCGGAAUCAUUGGGCGUAAAGCGCGCGUAGGUGGCUUCGUAAGUCCGUUGUGAAAGUCAAAGGCUCAACCUUUGAAAGCCGAUGGAUACUGUGAAGCUAGAGUACGGAAGAGGCGAGUGGAAUUCCUGGUGUAGCGGUGGAAUGCGCAGAUAUCAGGAGGAACACCAAUAGCGAAGGCAGCUCGCUGGGACGUUACUGACACUGAGGCGCGAAAGCGUGGGGAGCGAACAGG